rfam:Oryza barthii chromosome 5, whole genome shotgun sequence.
AAAAAAAACAAACCCGGCUUUCCGUGUCAAACGUUUGAUCGUCUGUUUUAUUUAAAGAAAAUAUGAAAAAAAUUAAAAAGACAAGUCACGCAUAAAGCAUUAACCAUGUUUUAUCAUCUAACAACAAUGAAAAUACUAAUUAUAAAAAAAAUUCAUAUAAGACGGGCAGUAAAAUAUUAGACACGAAAACUUAAGGUUUAUCUUUUU